CUUCGAUGCAUGUAAACCUAUAGUAUGAGCCCUCUAAAACAAAAUUCGGCACAUUUAAAAAGCGUAAUAGGUGCGUUUUAAUUCCAGUCGAAGGUAAAAAAGUUAUUAAAGUUAUCAUUCCAGGAACAAGGCUUGGCAGAUGUCUUUUCAUUUCAAAAAAUCAUGGUCAGUGAAAACAAUCCAUCCAUCCUACUCAGAGCCUAUCCCAGGGAUCUCAGGACAGAAGGUGGCGGACAACCUACCAAACCAUCACAAGGCACAAUCGCACACUACUGACAAUUCUGAAGGGCCAAUCAGCCUGCAAUGCACGUGUUUGGCCUGAGGGAGGAAACCGGAGUACCCGGAGGAAACCCCCAAAGCACGAGGAGAACAUUCAAGCUCUGCGCACACAGGGUGGAGACGGGAUUCGAGCCUCCAACCCCAGAGGUGUCGUGUCACGGCGAACUAGUGACUCCAUUUCCCAGAAUGCAAACAUGGC
ensembl:lncRNA